rnacentral:rRNA from 1 species
CCUACGGGUGGCAGCAGUGAGGAAUAUUGGUCAAUGGACGAGAGUCUGAACCAGCCAAGUAGCGUGAAGGAUGACUGCCCUAUGGGUUGUAAACUUCUUUUAUAUGGGAAUAAAAUGUUCCACGUGUGGGAUUUUGUAUGUACCAUAUGAAUAAGGAUCGGCUAACUCCGUGCCAGCAGCCGCGGUAAUACGGAGGAUCCGAGCGUUAUCCGGAUUUAUUGGGUUUAAAGGUGGCGUAGGUGGAUUGUUAAGUCAGUUGUGAAAGUUUGCGGCUCAACCGUAAAAUUGCAGUUGAAACUGGCAGUCUUGAGUACAGUAGAGGUGGGCGGAAUUCGUGGUGUAGCGGUGAAAUGCUUAGAUAUCACGAAGAACUCGGAUUGCGAAGGCAGUUCACUGGACUGCAACUGACACUGAGGCUCGAAAGUGUGGGUAUCAAACAGGAUUAGAUACCCGGGUAGUC